rnacentral:rRNA from 1 species
AACGCGAAGAACCUUACCUGGGUUUGACAUCCCAUGAAAAACGCAGAGAUGCGUAAUAGCCGCAAGGCACAUGGAGACAGGUGCUGCAUGGCUGUCGUCAGCUCGUGUCGUGAGAUGUUGGGUUAAGUCCCGCAACGAGCGCAACCCUUUCCCUUAUUUGCCAGCAUUAAGUUGGGCACUCUAGCGAAACCGCCCCGGAUAACGGGGAGGAAGGUGGGGAUGACGUCAAGUCCUCAUGGCCUUUAUGUCCAGGGCUACACACGUGCUACAAUGGCCGGUACAAACCGCUGCAAACCCGCGAGGGGGAGCUAAUCGGAAAAAGCCGGCCUCAGUUCGGAUUGGAGUCUGCAACUCGACUCCAUGAAGCUGGAAUCGCUAGUAAUCGUGGAUCAGAACGCCACGGUGAAUACGUUCCCGGGCCUUGUACACACCGCACGA